GAUGAAGUACGUAGCGAAAUGCGAUAAGUAAUGCGAAUUGCAGAAUUCCAGUGAGUCAUCGAAUCUUUGAACGCACAUUGCGCCCUUUGGUAUUCCGAAGGGCAUGCCUGUUCGAGCGUCAUUAUCACCCCUCAAGCCCUCGGCUUGGUGUUGGACGGUUUGGUGGAGGCCCCCUCGGGGGCUCCUGCCCCUCCCAAAGACAAUGACGGCGGCCUCGUUGGACCCCCGGUACACUGAGUUCUUCACGGGACACGUAUCGGACACAUGGGUUUACGGGACACGGUCUGCCUCCCCUCAGGGAGAAUCUUUCUAAGGUUGACCUCGGAUCAGGUAGGGAUACCCGCUGAACUUAAGCAUAUCAAUAAGCGGAGGA
rnacentral:misc_RNA from 1 species